UGCGACGGCAGAGAUAUUGGUGUUUCUUAGAUCACAACUUCGAAACUAAGAUAUAUACCGAAGGGUAUAUAUAUAUAUAGAGAGAGAGAGAGAUAAUAACGGUAAAAAUAUUUGCUAACGGAAAGAGUCCGGUUCAAGCAAUAAAUAAGUAAAGAGAGUACUUAUUAAAAAGCGCAAGAGGUGCAGUAUUUUUGCUGCUGGUUAUUAUCAAGUGGCAUGCCCCAUUGACUCAUUCCAUCAUAUCAGCGGUACAUGAUACAUUUGGCAAAUUUAACACACAAGUAAAUUUUACUCAGAUAAAAAAAAUAAUAAAAGAAGGAAAGAGAAAACUUCAUGUCCUACCAAAUUGCCGUAUGUGGAAAACAUAUGCGAUAGCAAAGGCGUUGCUUAGACAAGUAAUUUCUAGAUGGGGAACUCCCACAAAAAAUCUCCAGUGAUAAUGGCACACCUUUUGUGAGCCAUGCCCUUAAGUAGGUGGGUGAAUAUUUGGGUAUUGAUUUAAACCAGCACUGUGCAUAUCAUCCAGCUAGUGGUGGGGUUGUAGAGAGAGAAAAUGGGACACUAAAAAAACAGACUGAGCAAAUGCUGUUCUGAAACAGGCUUAGGAUGGGCUUAGCCCCUUUGGGAAACUGUUUGGGAGACCUCCACACACAGGAAUUGGAAUUGUGACAGCUCUUCUUACAGACGCUGCAGCAUGUGAUAAAAUGUUAAAUUACUGUGCAAGCUUGUCCUCUGCUCUGCACUCUAUCCACAAGCAGGUAAAAGCAGUGCUUCCAGCUCCAGCCACGGGUCCGCUGCAUGAUCUGAAGCCCGGAGAGUGGAUCGUUAUCAAGGACUUCCGCAGGACCGGGUGGAACAAGACACGAUGGUCAGGGCCAUUCUAGAUCCUUUUCGUCACUCGCCCUGUGGUAAAGGUCAGCCAGAGAGCCACGUGGAUGUACGCCAGCCACUGUAGGAGAGUGCCAGAGCCGAGCAAUGAGCUGGAGAAGACGGGACUUCGACUAGAAAGUGAGUCUCUAUCAAGAGGCCUCUAGGAGGACCGACACUCACGAGCGAUGAUCUGCAUAUACACACCCACACACAUGACACACUGCACUCCAACACACAUUCUCACACCAGUUCCUUGUGGUUACACAACACAAGACACCAAGUGGUAUCUAGUAGCCUGCGAAAUCACAGUCAUGUAGUUUUUGAAGAAAAUGUUGAUGACACGGAAACUGUACUCUUAGGAGGACUGAACUUCAUUAGGGAAGUUCAUUCCACCACCUAGGUACCAGAACAGAGAAGAGUCUUGAUGCAUGUCUUCCUUGUACCCUGAGAGAUGGUGGGAUCAGUCGAGCGGUGCUAGAGGAUCGAAGGGAGUGUGGUGCAGUGCGGGGUGUGAUAAGUGGAGCAGGAAGAGCUGGUGGGUUGAGUAGUGAAGAAAAAAUGUUGUGGAGCUUGCGAGGGUCUUGUGUAGAAGUUUCUGGCUUUUCCAUGUAGAAGGCAGUCUUAACAGAAGUCAUUUCAGAUAAGAAAUUGGACCGGAGAGCCCACUUUCUCUCUGCUGUUCAUCUGACAGCCAAGGAACAGGGUAAGAAUGAUACCACCCCAACAACAAGGUACUUUUAUUUCUAAGGCUCACUACACAUUGGGACACUGAUAAUUCCGGCGAUUCCGCAGAUCAGCAGAUUAAACCUGAUUUCCAGCGACAUGACUACGUACUCGCGUUGUAAAACGCCACCGCUGGCAUUUAUCAACAACAGGCAGGACCGAUAUCUUUCUGACAUUAUAUAAAUCAUAGAAUGUUAUCAUAUGAAUUUUUUGGCUUAAUCACAUGCGUUUCUGUCAUGGCACUUCAAGCAGGAUCGUAAGCUAGCUAGUGAAUUUUUUAAAAAUCAUCAAACACUUAAAAGUUGUUAGACUCAUACAAACCAUACACAGAACGUCAAAUAAAGUUAAAAAUCGCUAAUGUAAUUGCGUCAAUUGUGUAAGUAGUAAUUUGAGAGCUACAAUAACGAUAACACUUGCUGCUUACAUUUGUAGACGAAGUUGGCUGAUAGUUUGGCCGCCUUUUUUUUUUUUUUUUCUCGAGCUGAGAGGCUAUAGAAAAUAUGACACCAUUUCCAGUAAGGAAAAAUAGUGAGCAUCGAUGAUCCCUGGCUUUUGCAGUGCAUUCUGGGAUUUUUUUAGGGUGCGAACAUUCCAGUGCACUGGAAGGAUUUUGCGAUUGAGACAGCCCUUAAAAUGGCCAACUCCCUGAUCAAUGCCCUGACUACUGAACUAGGGAGCUGAUUGAGACGCACCGUAAGAUUGUAAGUGGUAUGUAGGACAUGCUAGCACCUGCCCUUUUCUCUCCAUUGUUAUAUGAAUACUGUUUGUGUUGCUGUGGUUACAAAACUAUUUUGCAUACUAUCGUAUUGGCUGUAUCAUAAUAUCUUAUGUGUUCACUGUCUACUAUUUAUAUUUAAUCUAAUAUUCCUCUCUGUUAUCCAAUACUAUACUAAUUUUCCCCAGAAUGUCACAUUUUGCAGUUUUCAGCCAAAAAAAAGAUGCUGAAUCUUCAUUUUCUGCUGCGGGUACAAUGUGCUAAUUUCUUUCUAGUCCAUUUUCUAAUCCACAAGUGACAGCCCCUGACACUGAGCUCGUGUACAUCAUAACAGAAGAUGACAGACUUGCUGCUGCCCGUCUCCUUGACAACAAGACAAGUGGUAAAGAAUGGAGUGUGUUUUCACUUUCACUCUGUUCUACACUAAUGAUCUGAAUAAUCCACCCUGCUCAAAAAUUCAUAGUGACCAUUAGAGGUUUCUGAUCGUUUCUAGCGGUUUAGUCAUGGUUAUUGAAAUUAUUUUGUGUUUUCCAUCUUGGUGGAAAGAUUCAAGACACAUUAGACAGCUUUCUAAUAGAAAGGUGUGUCGUAAGAGUGUGGUUUCUGAUGGAGGCCUUGCGGUGAUAAUCUGGGGCUGAUUCUAUGGUCGUAAUGGUCUUCUGUGAUAUUUGUGGUAAUCAGUAAUAACCCUGGUGCUUCAGAGCGUCAACAUGAAGACAGAAAAGCACUGAUCAGUAGCAUCUAUCUAGAUAGAACUGGCAACUCUUCCAUUAGGAUACAAUUCAAUCAGUAAGCCACUGAAUAUCUCACACAUCUGUAAUUGCAUCAAGAAAGAGUCGAUUGACUUCAGGCAAGUGUUAGAUGAGACAAUAUUCAAAGUUUUGUUAGGAAUUGAAGUAAUAUAAUGUAAUAUUUCUUCCCAGCAGGGAACAUUUUCCAAAGAGCGGUAUGUAACAAAGAAUAUUGUACUUCUGAGUACUGUGGAGGGAGCGUUACCACCAUGAAGUUGAUUAUUUUCCUAAAACAGCAUGUCCCAAAAUGUUUUAUUUUUCUUAUACCACAUCAAUGUGUCAACUAGUACACUUUUAAUUAAAGAAUGACAUGCAUGUUUUAUCUCUUUAUAUUUACAUUUAAUGGGGGGCAUGGUGGCUUAGUGGUUAGCACCUCCAGAGCUGGAGGCUCGAAUUCUUCCUCCACCCUGUCUGUGUGUGUGUGUGUGUGUGUGUGUGUGUGUGUGUGUUCUCCCCUUGCUUCAGGGGUUUCCUCUGGAUACUCUGGUUUCCUGUUUACCUGUCAGAGAACUUAAAAUUCCAGCUGAAUGUUACAAAGCACUGACACUGGAGACUCCUUCCAAAAUCAAAGAUUACUCAUCAGCAUCAGUUUUAAAGCAGCAUCUGAAAUUGUUACUAUAGAAACAACUAUAAUGUGCAAUUUGUGCAAUUUAAUAUCAAUCUUGCAAUGGGAACUGCUCUCAGAGCUGCUGUUAUAGAAAAUUAGUCAACACAUUCUGACUGAUCAGGAUUGAGGAUUCAACAGCGCAGUGGCAUAAACGCUAGUAAUUAAGAGAUGGAUACGCUGAUAUUUUAUGAUAUUCAAAGGACGCUUUAAUACAUUUAAUACACUACCAAGGCAUUUUAUUCAGGAGAAACCAGCUUAGGUAGGCAGGAAUGAGGAACACUGCUGCACCUGGCCCAAAGCACUGGAUCAAUAUCAAAAAGACUGUGACGCAUUUUCAAUUCACUGACGUCAUUUUAUCCUGUGAACAUCUGUGACGUUGACUGAUACGGAACUGAAAUUUGCACUUAACAUUCAAUCAUAGAUUCUUUCUCAGGAACCGCUUUAUCCUGGUCAGGUUUGUGCCCAAGCCUAUCCUAUCCCGGGAACAAUGGGUGUGAGGCAGGAAUACACCCUGGAUGAGAGACCAGUCCACCAGUCGCAGCAAACCAUACACACACACACACAUUUACACCUGGGGCAAUUUAGUGUACCCAAUCCACCUACUGGCAAGUAUUUGGGAGGUGGAAGGAAACUGAAGAACCUGGAAGAAACCUAAACUGACACAGGAAGAACAUGCAAGAUUCCACACAGACAGUACCCCAAGUGCAGGAUCAAGCCGACACCACCAUGCUAACUGCACGGAAAAUACCAUUUACGACAAACUGUCUUCAAGUCCCCAUUAAGCGCCUUGAAACGCACAGCGUUAUUUGAUGUGCCGACGUAAUUUCCACUGAAACAGGAAGUCAGGGCAGGACAUACUGAUUGGCUCCUCCCCCUUCUUAAACAGCCAAUAGCAUUUAGAUUACCCCAGCGCCCGGGGCUAAGCCGUCCUCGACAGUUAGUACAGUGGAUUUUUAUCAUGUCGGGGGCGGCCCACUUCAGACUCUAGAGAGCAUUUGAUUGGACAGAAAAUCUGAUGGCAGGCUGAAGUGCAGAAUGAUGUCAUCGAAAUUGUUGAUCCGUACCGGUGGUAGAGAGAGACUGUACAUUUUUAAUGCAUUUACAAGUACUAAAUGCGAAUUUUGUCAUUGUUUUGGAGCACACUACCUCAUAGAUAACCUCAAGGCUAAUAUAUUCAUACUAAAAGCCACAAAACUUUCAUUUUUGUCUUUAAAGCCUACUGUCAUCCCACAUCGCUGGGAAUCAGAAGCUUUGAGACGGUCAUCCAGGUACUGAAAUAUUGUUAGUAUCAGGCCCAUUCUCAGAGCUUUACGUAUUGUAUUGAAAAUGGUUGUUGUUUUUGUUUUUAAUGAAUCAGUGCAUAUCCUUA